rfam:Picea glauca, whole genome shotgun sequence.
AUAUGCCUACAACAUAGCGUCCGUGCAUUGAAUCCCAUUAGAACUCUACAAUUAAGCACGUUCAGGCUAGAGUAGUACUGGGAUGGGUGACCACUCAGGAAGUCCUAGUAUUUUACAUGCC